GUGGAAAUUUGGAUUAUGAGGGUAUUUUUAAAAGAAAAAUCGGAAACAGGUCAAAACACAAUUUAAAAAAAUUUUGCCACGUCAGAUGCCCGGUCAGCAGCCCUGACCAACCAAGACGCACUAGGUGGCAGAGGCGCUAACGCGAGAGGCCACACGAGGGGGAGCCACGUGGGCGAUCCGCGUGUGCGCGAUCGAACAGUUGAGAUCCAUUCCCGCGCACACGGAUAGCCUAGAUUGAAAAUGCGCACGGAUGGCCCAGAUUGAAUCACGCACGGACGGCCUAAUUUGAAUCGCGAUGAACGGUCCAGAUUCACUCCCUAUUUAAUCGCGAUCGGAUGAUCCAGAUCAAAAGCGAUGGACGACCCAGAUCAAAAGCAGAUGGGUAUAAAUAACCCCCAUCCGCACCCAAACUCUAACCCUAGCUGCCAAAG
rnacentral:lncRNA from 1 species